AUCGCAGGCGUUCGAGGCCUGGGUGACUCUGUUCUCCGAACACAAGGACCGGGUCCAACUGGCCGCCUUCCCCUUCUGGAGAAGCCAGUGGUCCCCAUCUCCAGUAAAUGAAUACUUCCAUGAAAACAGCUCAACCAGGCUGGGCACAGUGGCUCAUGCCUAUAAUCCCAGCACUCUGGGAGGCCGAAGUGGGCAGAUCACGAGGUCAGGAGUUUGAGACCAGCCUGACCAAUGUGGUGAAACCCCAUCUCUACUAAAAGUACAAAAACUAGCCGGGCGUGGUGGCACGCACCUGUAAUCCCAGCUACUCAGGAGGCUGAGGCAGGAGAAUUGCUUGAACCCAGGAGGCAGAGGCUGCAGUGAGCUGAGAUGGCGCCACUACACUCCAGCCUGGACAACAGAGUGAGACUUAGUCUCAAAAAAAAAAUAAAUAAAUAAAUAAAAAGAAAAUAGCUCAACCAAAA